rnacentral:lncRNA from 1 species
GCUGUGGCCAAGCGAGUCGCGGUCGGUAAGAUGUGGGUGGGGUCUGGGCGAUGAAGCCCUGAUGAAUUAUGGUCAAGAGCUAGCAGCCAGAUCGCUGAUCGCCUCUGCCGGAGAUCCCCUGCGGCGCCACCAGGUUCGAGGUCUUCGGCUGCUCCCUCGCCGCCUUCGGUAAGUUUCCACCCGGCCAACUCCGUCGGGGUGAUUAGCUCGUAUCAACAAUUUGGUUCGCAGGGGAGUUGAAGAAGCUUCUGACGGCGGAGAAGGGGCUGCAGCCGGCCGACCAGAGACUGCUUUACAAAGGGAAGG